UCUCACAUUUCUGCUAAGCUACUUGGUUAUUUGUUAUCCUAACUAACAUGACUCUUGGUUAUUGGUUAUCCCUUCUAAUCUUGCUAUAGAUUAUCCAAACUUGUUUGGCUAUGGGUUAUCCAUUGUAACCUGGCAUAUAUAGGUUAUCCAAAGUAAUGAUGCAUUUCUGCUAUGAUACAUUAGUGUCGUCUAAUGUGCUGGUUAUAGAUUAUCCAUUUCUGCUUGAUGAAUGUGUUUGUUAUUUAAUUUUGAACCAAGCUGCUGGUGUUCACCUGGGUGUGCUAGUUUAUCUAGUUAUGUUCUUCUGUUCCACCCGGUGUCAAUUGUAUACAAGUAGUCUGCAACUGAAUCAAAUCUGAAUACUAGGGUCUGGGGGUUUGAACUAACCAGAGCAUACAACCAUUUAGUAUUGAACUACAUAGUUUACUUGCCCAGUUAAUUCCUGCCUUGUGUGGCAUUGAUAUUAGUUGGCUAAUUGCGAUGUUGCCCUAUUGUACAGCUUGUAGUUAUACAC
rnacentral:lncRNA from 1 species